CAAAAAUGUUAAAUGUAGACCAAUACGUAUCUAUAUACAGUAGCAGAUCGAACGAGUCAUAAAUAAAUUAUGGAUUAAUCUCGUGAUUCUGAUUAUGCAAUUGUAUUGUGCUUUUGUGUUACUUUUAAAUGGCAUAUAGCUGCACUGGAAUGCCUAUUUGCUUUGAACAAUGUACAAUUGAAGAAAAUCGUGGACUGUUAGCAAGGUUUGAUUAAAUUAAAUCCAUAACUAACGGUGAAAUGCAUAAAAGGGUAUUAUAUGUAAAUAAGAUAGAAUCGAAACAUUCACAUAAAAUAAGUGAGUAAUGUAACACCAAUAGCUGCAAUAGUUUAUUGUAAAUUUGCUAAUGUCGCCACUAAUACUGUACCAUUGCCAAUAAACGAUUAACUGACGCAGUAGGUUAUUAAUUAGAAGCCCUCUUGAGAUUAAACGUAGCCUUACGAAAAAAGGUCUAGUUAGUAUCGUAUCGUUAACAUAAAAAAAUGGAGAACUGGAAUUUCACCAUACAAAGCACUCGAGGACAAUCUCAAAGUCGAUUAUUCUAAAAUUCUUACAUGCCUCAUACACAAUGUAGCAAAUUAUUAGUAACAAAAAGGCAAAUAAAGCACGCUAUCUGGAAAUGGAAAUAAUGUAAAACGGUAGUUGUAAAGAUGCAGCCUUGAAUAGAAAAGUUCAAGUAGUUGCAGACCGUGCGCCAACCAAAGGCGCAAUUAAUUGCCUUAGCCGGUAGAAAUUGAUAAAUAAAUCGACAUCGUAUAAAAUUUCUCCAAACAUUAUUUGAGGAAAACACGUUUGAUGAAGCAAGAAAUGGAUUUGACGCAUGUAUAGCGAUGCUGAUUGAAACCGUGCCACUAAACCGAAAAUUAUGCAAAUUGCAGAACAUAAAAAGAUCGCUAAAUCGCGCACGUAAAUUGGAGAAUUCGGUAUCUUUGGCAUUUGCUUGGUUUCGAUGGAGUCAUUGAUCUCCUGCACGCGGAUGAUACUUGCAUUGCAACAAUCGCCGUAAAUAUAACGCUAAAAUUUCUUUUGUCCAAAUUUUUUAGGGUCGAUUAAAGAGUACCUAUUGCA